UCUCUCUGGCAACACAGACACUAAAACUGGGACAAUGCAGAGAAGGUCAGCAUGGCUCCAGAUGAUGCAUAAAUUCACGAGGUGUUCAAUAUUCUU
rnacentral:snRNA from 1 species